CUUAUGUUCUCAACCGGAUCUAGAAAAGGAGUAAAGCUAAAAUUUGGAUAGGAAAAGCUAUUGAAACAGCAUUCUCCUGAAAACAGAGGUCUGACAAAUACAGCUGCCUACCACACAGUAGCUGGUGAGAGGACACAGUUGGAGAAGGGAGCAAGACACCCACAGAAGGUUCAUUUCAGCUUCUCCCUGGGAAAGAGCCAGAUUGUUCCUGAUCACAUUUUGCUCUAAUUCAAGCAUCCUGCUAGUGAGCACACUGCUCAAUUAGGACAAAGCAACACUUUCUUCCUGAUGGACCAAGCCUGAAGAUCCUAUUACAGGAGAGAAAGGAAAAAUGGCUGCCGAACAAAUCUUAUGAAUUCCUUCAUCCGGCUGUCCACCAGUCCCUUUGGAGAGGCGAGAGCGUGCACUUGUGUGCCGUGGAGGCAAUAAAAGAUGCGUUUGUGUCCCAUUCAUCACGGUGUCAUUUUCAGAUGCAUGCAGAUAUUGCUUGCAGCGCUGGGGACAGGUGCAAAUUAACACAUACUCCCCGACUCUCCAGCCUUUCCCACCCCUAGUUCGUUCUCCAGCCUCUUCCCACCCUUUUUACUAGGAAACCUCACCGGCUCUCGCUUCUUGCCUUGCUUUUCAGCCCCUUUCCCACCCAGACACGAUGGGGCCUUGUUGGCUUGUGCGUGCGGGAGCCACGUGAAUGAGAGAAGAGAAACGGACAUCCUGCCCCCGAACAAAGACGAGGCACAAGGCCAGAUCUCUGUGUAACACACUCGAGCAGGCAGCGCAGCAGCUGUGCCCGGGAAAGGUGCCAGGCUGGACUAGCAAGGUGAGGUGGGGCAGGGACCAGCUCUGUGAAGGAACAGCACAGGGAAUUGCAAGGGAUGGCCGGGUGCCCAGGCUGAGCUGAACAGGGGCCACAGGUGAGAGCUGUGGGUCUGACAAAGCUUCAGCCACAUGCACAUGGGGGCGAUGCAGUGAGAAUCCCACGCCAGGCGGGCACAACUGUGCCAGGGCCAACAAGAGAGAUUAGCUUUGAGUUCACUCUACCCAGAGACAGGAGGC